GCUGAGGACAGUUACUGGUGACGUCUAAGCUGCAGUCUAAGAUAAGGAAGUAGGAGGCUGUAGCCAAGGGGAUAGAAGUGCUCUGUGAACCCUGGGUUGGAGAAGGGAGUUGGUGACUGAAGAUCACCAGGUUUUAGAACAGAACUUCAAUAACAAGGGAGGAAAACUUAAUGAAGUCAGAUGAACCUGAAAACUUCAAUACAAAGACAGCCUGAUUCUCCCCAGAUGGAAUUCUGAAGCCUGGUCACUGGGUCACUACAUGGA
rnacentral:lncRNA from 1 species